rnacentral:rRNA from 1 species
AUUGAACGCUGGCGGCAGGCUUAACACAUGCAAGUCGAGCGAGUGGCGGACGGGUGAGUAAUGUCUGGGAAACUGCCUGAUGGAGGGGGAUAACUACUGGAAACGGUAGCUAAUACCGCAUACCAUCGGAUGUGCCCAAAUGGGAUUAGCUAGUUGGUGGGGUAAAGGCUCACCUAGGCGACGAUCCCUAGCUGGUCUGAGAGGAUGACCAGCCACACUGGAACUGAGACACGGUCCAGACGCCUACGGGAGGCAGCAGUGGGGAAUAGUGCACAAUGGGCGCAAGCCUGAUACAGCCAUGCCGCGUGUAUGAAGAAGGCCUGCGGGUUGUAAAGUACUUUCAGCGGGGAGGCGUUACCCGCAGAAGAAGCACCGGCUAACUCCGUGCCAGCAGCCGCGGUAAUUC